UUGAUCAUGGCUCAGGAUGAACGCUAGCGGCGUGCUUUAUGCAUGCAAGUCGAACGGUCUUAAGCAAUUAAGAUAGUGGCGAACGGGUGAGUAACGCGUAAGUAACCUACCUCUAAGUGGGGGAUAGCUUCGGGAAACUGAAGGUAAUACCGCAUGUGGUGGGCCGACAUAUGUUGGUUCACUAAAGCCGUAAGGCGCUUGGUGAGGGGCUUGCGUCCGAUUAGCUAGUUGGUGGGGUAAUGGCCUGCCAAGGCUUCGAUCGGUAGCUGGUCUGAGAGGAUGAUCAGCCACACUGGGACUGAGACACGGCCCAGACUCCUACGGGAGGCAGCAGCAAGGAAUCUUGGGCAAUGGGCGAAAGCCUGACCCAGCAACGCCGCGUGAGGGAUGAAGGCUUUCGGGUUGCAAACCUCUUUUCAUAGGGAAGAAUAAUGACGGUACCUGUGGAAUAAGCUUCGGCUAACUACGUGCCAGCAGCCGCGGUAAUACGUAGGAAGCAAGCGUUAUCCGGAUUUAUUGGGCGUAAAGUGAGCGUAGGUGGUCUUUCAAGUUGGAUGUGAAAUUUCCCGGCUUAACCGGGACGAGUCAUUCAAUACUGUUGGACUAGAGUACAGCAGGAGAAAACGGAAUUCCCGGUGUAGUGGUAAAAUGCGUAGAUAUCGGGAGGAACACCAGAGGCGAAGGCGGUUUUCUAGGUUGUCACUGACACUGAGGCUCGAAAGCGUGGGGAGCGAACAGAAUUAGAUACUCUGGUAGUCCACGCCUUAAACUAUGGACACUAGGUAUAGGGAGUAUCGACCCUCUCUGUGCCGAAGCUAACGCUUUAAGUGUCCCGCCUGGGGAGUACGGUCGCAAGGCUAAAACUCAAAGGAAUUGACGG
rnacentral:rRNA from 1 species